CCCCAGGGAUCAUGAGCCCAUCUGUAUGUUGCAUCUCUUCCUAAAUGUCCUUAUGUUUCAUGGGCCUAUUGGGCUAUAAAUAGCUCACCCUUCCAAUCCC